GGAAGGCUGGCGCGGACGGAGAGCCUCGCCAACCCGGUCAGGGCCGGAAGGCAGCAGCCGUAACGAGUUGCGAUCCGGGUCGCUGUCCAGCCUUCCACC
rfam:Tistrella mobilis KA081020-065, complete genome.